CCUACGGGAGGCAGCAGUGAGGAAUAUUGGUCAAUGGACGAGAGUCUGAACCAGCCAAGUAGCGUGAAGGAUGACUGCCCUAUGGGUUGUAAACUUCUUUUAUAAUGGAAUAAAACGCGGCACGUGUGCCUUUUUGCAUGUACUUUAUGAAUAAGGAUCGGCCAACUCCGUGCCAGCACCGGCGGUAAUACGGAGGAUCCGAGCUGUUUCCGGAUUUUUUGGGUUUAAAGGGAGCGUAGGUGGGUUGUUAAGUCAGUUGUGAAAGUUUGCGGCUCACCCGUAAAAUUGCAAUUGAUACUGGCAGUCUUGAGUACAGGUGAGGUAGGCGGAAUGCGUGGUGUAGCGGUGAAAUGCUUAGAUAUCACGAAGAACCCCGAUUGCGAAGGCAGCUUAC
rnacentral:rRNA from 1 species